UACAGAGGUCCCAAGCGUUGUUCGGAUUCAUUGGGCGUAAAGGGUGCGUAGGCGGCGCGGUAAGUCGGGUGUGAAAUCUCGGAGCUUAACUCCGAAACUGCAUUCGAUACUGCCGUGCUUGAGGACUGGAGAGGAGACUGGAAUUUACGGUGUAGCGGUGAAAUUCGUAGAUAUUCGCAAGAACACCAGUGGCGAAGGCGGCUCACUGGCCCGAUACUGACGCUGAGGUGCGAAAGCGUGGGGAGCAAACAGG
rnacentral:rRNA from 1 species